rnacentral:lncRNA from 1 species
CCCAGACAAAUUUGACAAACAAAGCUAAAUUGAAUUUACUACAAAAACGACCCAGUUUAGAGGGCUAAAAGCUAGUUAAAUAGGACAUUCUCAGUAAUGUAGCACACAUGGUCUGUUCCAGUGUGACUAGAGCAAUCAUUUGACACCGUUUCAAUAGACAAUGGAGCUUUUCUGCGAUUUUUAUGCACCCCCAGACAAAUUUGACAAACAAAGCUAAAUUGAAUUUACUACAAAAACGACCCAGUUUAGAGGGCUAAAAGCUAGUUAAAUAGGACAUUCUCACUAAUGUAGCACACAUGGUCUGUUCCAGUGUGACUAGAGCUAUCAUUUGACACCGUUUCAAUAGACAAUGGAGCUUUUCUGCGAUUUUUAUGCACCCCCAGACAAAUUUGACAAAGCUAAAUUGAAUUUACUACAAAAACGACCCAGUUUAGAGGGCUAAAAGCUAGUUAAAUAGGACAUUCUCAGUAAUGUAGCACACAUGGUCUGUUCCAGUGUGACUAGAGCUAUCAUUUGACACCGUUUCAAUAGACAAUGGAGCUUUUCUGCGAUUUUUAUGCACCCUCAGACAAAUUUGACAAACAAAUCUAAAUUGAAUUUGAUACAAAAACGACCCAGUUUAGAGGGCUAAAAGCUAGUUAAAUAGGACAUUCUCAGUAAUGUAGCACACAUGGUCUGUUCCAGUGUGACUAGAGCUAUCAUUUGACACCGUUUCAAUAGACAAUGGAGCUUUUCUGCAUUUUUAUGCACCCCAAGACAAAUUUGACAAACAAAGCUAAAUUGAAUUUACUACAAAAACGACCCAGUUUAGAGGGCUAAAAUCUAGUUAAAUAGGACAUUCUCAGUAAUGUAGCACACAUGGUCUGUUCCAGUGUGACUAGAGCUAUCAUUUGACACCGUUUCAAUAGACAAUGGAGCUUUUCUGCAUUUUUUCUGCACCCCCAGACAAAUUUGACAAACAAAGCUAAAUUGAAUUUACUACAAAAACGACCCAGUUUAGAGGGCUAAAAGCUAGUUAAAUAGGACAUUCUCACUAAUGUAGCACACAUGGUCUGUUCCAGUGUGACUAGAGCUAUCAUUUGACACCGUUUCAAUAGACAAUGGAGCUUUUCUGCGAUUUUUAUGCACCCUCAGACAAAUUUGACAAACAAAGCUAAAUUGAAUUUGAUACAAAAACGACCCAGUUUAGAGGGCUAAAAGCUAGUUAAAUAGGACAUUCUCAGUAAUGUAGCACACAUGGUCUGUUCCAGUGUGACUAGAGCUAUCAUUUGACACCGUUGUUACGUUCCCCAGUUUCUGUUGUGGUUUGUGUAUUAUCAUGUAUGUAUUUCAGGAGAUGGAUUCCUGAAGUUCUCAACGAGCAGCUGAUUGGGCAAUCAACAUUGAUUGUUUGGAGAGCUGACCCCGCCCCCUCAUCAGGACGCAGCUGUCUCCAAUUACUAACUUCUUCUGAAGCUAUAUAAGCCCCAGUUCUGUUGCUCAGAAGAGGAGAUGAUUGCUGAGAGACAAGGCUAAUGGCUGAGGGUUAUAGCAUGUUGGUUGUUUCCAAGAAU